GAUGAACGCUGGCGGCGUGCCUAAUACAUGCAAGUAGAACGCUGAAGGAAGGAGCUUGCUCUUUCCGGAUGAGUUGCGAACGGGUGAGUAACGCGUAGGUAACCUGCCUGGUAGCGGGGGAUAACUAUUGGAAACGAUAGCUAAUACCGCAUGACAGUAGAUGUUGCAUGACAACUGUUUGAAAGGGGCGAUUGCUCCACUACCAGAUGGACCUGCGUUGUAUUAGCUAGUUGGUGAGGUAACGGCUCACCAAGGCGACGAUACAUAGCCGACCUGAGAGGGUGAUCGGCCACACUGGGACUGAGACAAGGCCCAGACCCCUACGGGAGGCAGCAGGAGGGAAUCUUCGGCAAUGGACGGAAGUCUGACCGAGCAACGACGCGUGAGUGAAGAAGGUUUUCGGAUCGGAAAGCUCUGUUGUAAGGGAAGAACGAGUGUGAGAGUGGAAAGUUCACACUGUGACGGUAUCUUACCAGAAAGGGACGGCUAACUACGUG
rnacentral:rRNA from 1 species